UUCCAGACUCCUACGGGAGGCAGCAGUGGGGAAUAUUGCACAAUGGGGGAAACCCUGAUGCAGCGACGCCGCGUGAGCGAUGAAGUAUUUCGGUAUGUAAAGCUCUAUCAGCAGGGAAGAAGAUGACGGUACCUGACUAAGAAGCCCCGGCUAACUACGUGCCAGCAGCCGCGGUAAUACGUAGGGGGCAAGCGUUAUCCGGAUUUACUGGGUGUAAAGGGAGCGUAGACGGCGGCGCAAGCCAGAUGUGAAAGCCCGGGGCUCAACUCCGGGACUGCAUUUGGAACUGUGUGGCUGGAGUGUCGGAGAGGCAGGCGGAAUUCCUAGUGUAGCGGUGAAAUGCGUAGAUAUUAGGAGGAACACCAGUGGCGAAGGCGGCCUGCUGGACGAUGACUGACGUUGAGGCUCGAAAGCGUGGGGAGCAAACAGGAUUAGAUACCCGGGUA
rnacentral:rRNA from 1 species